UCCUAGCUCACAGCCUCUUUACAACAGCCA
rnacentral:piRNA from 1 species